rnacentral:tRNA from 1 species
UUUAGGGAGACCACCUGAAAUUAACCUAAUCCAAAUAUCACGGUUAAGAUUCAGAUAUCCCUGGUCGUUCGAGGAAAUAUCCGUGAAAGUGCUUUCAAACUAUUAGGUAGUUCGGAUCAUGGGCUAUUAGCUCAGUUGGUUAGAGCGCACCCCUGAUAAGGGUGAGGUCUCUGGUUCAAAUCCAGAAUGGCCCACCUUAAUUAGAAGUUAAAAUUAUCUAAUUAAAAGUCUUAAACUUAAGGUUUUUUAAUUAAUAGUUUUUAAUUUGUAAUUUCCCACCAGUGGGGGUAUAGCUCAGUUGGUAGAGCGCUGCCUUUGCAAGGCAGAUGUCAGCGGUUCGAGUCCGCUUACCUCCACUCUUACCCAAGCCAGCCGCCCAAACCAACCGAAUUCCACAAAAAUCAAAUAAAGUCAAAAAACUGUUGCGUCUUAAGCAAUAUGUGAUAGACUAGAAAGAGUGACUAUAAAAGCUCAGCACCUAGAUUAGCGUGAAAAACGAAUCAGAAUGCUGGUCUUCCAAGUCCAGUCAGAACCUUGAAAACUGCAUAGCAAAAAAUCAUCAAGUAAAAAUUUGCAUGAUCAUCGACAGCGUUAAAACUGAAGAAAAUCAUCAAGUCGACCAUCAAACAGAAAAA